UCCCCGUUACCGAGGCAGUCUGACUAGAAAAAUCCAACUAAUCAUAAGGGUUGCGCUCGUUGAUGGACUUAACCAAACAUCUCACGACACGAGCUGACGACGGCCAUGCAUCACCUGUCACUGCGGCCCGAAGGCACUUUCUCCUUUCGGAGAAAUGAGCAGGAUGUCAAGUCUGGGUAAGGUUCUUCGCUUACCAUCGAAUUAAACAACACGCUCCACCGCUUGUGCGGGUCCCCGUCAAUUCCUUUGAGUUUUAAUCUUGCGACCGUACUCCCCAGGCGGCAUGCUUAACGCGUUAGCUUCGCUACUACUCGGGUCGAUACGAAUAACAGCUAGCAUGCAUCGUUUACGGCGUGGACUAC
rnacentral:misc_RNA from 1 species